CCAACACCACCAGUCUUCAACACCUAGCUGGAGGGAGUGGACGGGACCCGCGCCACUCUCUCACUUUCUCACUCGCUCACACUUCGCUCAAGAGUACGCGCGCUGCCUCGCCUACGCUCGAACUCGUCAUUCAGUCAGUCAAGGAAGGAGGAUUUUUAAGGGGUUUCCGGUACGAUAUUUAGCUGUUUAGAAGAAUCUUUGCUCAUUUAGAAGUGUUUAAGAGGAGACUGAACUAAUUUACGAGAAAGAAGAGAAGGAAGGAAGGAUUGUGUACCUCACGACAGAAAACAGAAGAAUACGAAGAGAAAUAAACUUGUAACUUGUGAGAAAAGAAGAAAGAAAGGAAAGGAGAGAAAAAAAACUUGACAAUCACAAACAAAAAACGUGAAGUGAAACGGAGAAAGGAAAACAAACAUUGGAAACAGUAAUAGAGAAAGACGAAUUAGAAAGUGAUAAAGAAGAAAAACCACAUCAGGGAAAACAAUUAACUAUACAUUUUGGACACUGGACAAAAAUAAGGAAAACAAAGACAGAAAGAAAAAGAGAACAGUGUGUGAAUGAAGUGAAGAAGAAGAAGAAAGAAGAAAAGAAGGAAAAAACAGACGACAGAGGAAGGAAAGGAAAGCCAACAACAAUUAGAGAAAGAAAUAAAGACAGAAAGAAAGAAAGUGUGAGAAUAUAGAAGUGAAGAAGAGAGAAGAGAAGAGAAGAAAGAAGAGAAGAGGAGGAGGAGGAAGAAGAGUAGUGUGAGCGUAAUAGUAGUAGUAGCAGUAGUAAUAGUAGAGAGAGAGAGAGAACGUAACACUGCUCUCUCUCACUCACUCUCUUUUGCUCUCUCUACGCACGCACACACACACGAACGCACGCCCUCCCCGCCCCCCCCUCUCUCUCUCCCUCUCGCUCUCUCAACCACGUGGGAGUGAAGAUACAACCACCACCACCACCACCAGAGGAGUUGCAUCCACCACCUCCAUUCAUCACCUCCACCUCCACUUUCCUUCGUCAUCCAGAAAAGUGUUGAGUGAUGGUCGCGUGGUGACGAUGCGGACCAGCGACGUGAUCAACGAGGGCGGGGCGUCGCCGGGGGUGGGCACGGGGCUGCUCUCCCUCAAUGGCGGCGUCGCGGCCUCCCCGGGCAAGGGCUCCGCCGUGGCCGGCGUGCCCCCUAACCUCGCCUUCGACCUCUCCACCUACUCGCGGAUCAUCCAGCAGAUGGCCGCCAAGAUCUACCCCUACGACCCCGCCGCCGUGGUGGCGUCCCUGGCCGCGCUGGGCCCAGCCUCGCACCUGCCGCUGGCCCUCACGGCGCCGCACGCGCUCUCGCUCACCACCAAGAACGCCACGGACAGCGAGAAGGCCAGCCAGGUGACGGAGUGCCUGCUGCAGGGCAGCGGCCUCAAGGUGUGGCAGCCCGAGGAGAAGCCCGCCGCCACCAAGGUCAAGGAGGAGGAGGGGGAGUCCGCCCUCGACCUCCGCACGCAGGGGCUGAAGUCCCUCUACUCCUCGUACAGACGCGCGUCCCUGGACGACAUCAAGCCCAAGGUCGUGGAGGACAUUUGGGUCGAGAACGACAUCGCGCUGUCGUGGACGGACUCCCGCGUGGCGGCCUACAACCCGGCGCAGAAGCUGUUCAUGUGUGUGGACUGUGAGUGCGUCGGGUUCCUGUCGCGCGUGGCGGAGCACUGGCUGGGCGCCCACGCCAACCUGCGGGUGUUCUCGUGCCCGCGGUGCCCCUACACGUCGGCGUGGUCGCGCUGCGUCAAAAUGCACCUCACGCGGCAGCACAACGAGCAGUUCGCCGACACCAACAUGUGGAAGGAGAACACCACGCUCAUGGAGGUGACGCGCCUCAUGCAGGAGCUCAGGAACAAGGUGGAGAACCGCAUCGACUCCAGCAACACCCUGGCGGACAAGCGGUUCUACUGCCCGCACUGCCCCUACGCCACGGACCGCCGCGACCUGUACACGCGGCACGAGAACAUCCACAAGGACGACAAGCCCUUCCACUGCUACCUCUGCUUCAAGCAGUUCAACAGGGCGGACCACGUCAAGAAGCACUUCGUCCGCAUGCACCCGGAGUCCGAGUACGACAUCUCCAAGAUCCGCAAGCAGCCGGGCAGCGGACGCAACGCCAUCCGAUCGCCGCCGUCACCGCUCGUGCAGCCGGCGCCUCAGGAGCCGCCCCCCACGGCGCCGCCGCCGCCGCCGCCACCACCCAGGGUCGUCACCCCCAUUCCCUCGCCCCCCAUAGUGAUCUCCCCCGCCCCGUCCCCCCCGCCAAAGUCCCCGGAGGUGAUAAUAACGGACAUGGGUUCGCUGAGCGCCCCGUCCACCCCGGAGGACUGCAGCCCCGCCUCCCCCGGGUCCAUCGUGAACCUGGGCAUGGGCCUCAGCAUGGUGUCCGGCAUGGAGAGCCCCGAACCCGGACGUGGGCGGCGGCGCGGGGACCGGGCGUACACAUGCCCGUACUGCCACUGGGCCGGCAGCGACAACUGGUGCCUCAAGCGGCACAUGAACACGCACAUCAAGCCCUUCGCCUGUGUCAUGUGCGACUACAAGGCGGCGCGUGCGGAGCGGCUGUCCACGCACGUCUGGAAGGUGCACAACAAGCGGAUCUGCAACAAGUGCAACUUCCUCGCCGAGAGUCAGGAGCGGCUGCUGGAGCACACCCGCGAGGAGCACCACAACAACCCGUACUCCCGCCGCUACAUCUGCUCCUCCUGCGUGCUGACCUUCGACACGCGGCCGGCCCUGGAGACGCACCAGCACCUCUGCCACCCCAGCCUCACUACCUCAAGCGCCGCCACCUCGCCCGUCCCCCCCAUGCAGGACGUGGCGCACGACCUGUCCAUGCGCAGCGAGGCCAGCCUCUCCCCCAGCCAGGCCUCCUCCCCCCUGGUGUGCCCCGUGGACGGCUGCGGGGUCAUCGUCGGGUGCGGGAGUUCCCUGGCGGAGCACAUUCGUGACUCGCACGGGGGGUCGGGGGGGUCCAGCUGCCCCCAUUGCGGCUACCAGCUGACGCAUGACGAGCUGUCACGGGACCACUGGCUGACGCACCACAGCGAGGUCUGCGCCGCCUGCGUCCACGUCUUCACCGCCGUCUACGGACCUCAGCUCUGGAAGAAGGUCCACGUCAGACCCACGUCCCUCGAGAGUCCGCUCGACGCCAUCGUGACCGGACUCAACCGUAAGCGAACCGCCAAUGACGGUCAGCCGGGAGAGCCGCUGGACACCGCCCUCAGUGUCCUGACGACCCUGGCCAUGCACCAGCGGGACUCGCCUUCGCCGGGGUCGGACACUCAGGACACAGACAGCGAGAGGUUCUGCAAGCGGUCCAGGAAGCAGCGGUGCCCCAAGAAGGUGAUCACGGUGGCGGAGGACGGCGAGGACGGCGCGUCGUCGGGCGGCGCCGCGCGUAAGAACAGCUUGGUGCGGGCGCGGCGCAGGGCCGUGCUCAACAGGCCUGGCUUCGUGAGUCGCCAGUGCCACCGGUGCCCUCGUCGCCCCGUCUUUGCCUCGCGCGCUCGCCUUCAGCUGCACGUCAAGUGGACUCACGGCAAACACUCCGCCACACGGAAAACCCAGCCACUGGAACACACUCCACCGCCACCCGUCGCCACAGUCCACUAGGCCGUCGGACCGUCACCUUUGGGUCGUCGUCUCAAUAUAACGGGUAACAACGACGUGUGUGUGUGUGUAUGUGUGUGUGUGCGUGCCCCCCUCACCGGGUCUGUUUUCCCUCCGCGUUAAGCUCUAAAAACUGUUUGCUCAUGACGUGACUCGAGUCCACGGCCAGUACAGUCCACGCCCCGCCUUGGUGCUGGCUGUGCGGGUUGCCUGCUGCCGACAAACAAGUGUGGGAUGAAGGGACCGCAUGCCCUCACUCUGACUGAUGUUUUGAGGUUAAAAUCUCCAUGAACGAGUUAAUGAUAGGUGAUUAAUUCCACUCCCCCGCCUCUGUGUACAUAUAUCCCUGUACAGGCGCACACCCCAGAGUAGACGAGUGUUACCGCUCUCCUUCUCCGUCUCUAUUCCGCGAGUACAAUUACCUCACAAGGAAACUGAUUAUCUCACGAAUAACCUCUCUUAAGUUAUUAAUAUUGCGGCAAAAGUCCGUUACUCCGAAGCCUCCCAGUCCGAAGAUCCUUAUAACCCAAAUCUGUGAAGGCAAAAAUAUACAGGCCAAAAAGAAAAAAUACAACUGUCUGAAUUUUGGAGUUUGUAAAAAUCAAAAAAAGAUACGUAAGAGGAAGUUAAUGGUUGGAAUUCUGAAAGGACCUUAUGCUAUUCUGACUAACGAGACUUUUGCUGCGCUCAAUAAUGCAUUACGAUUAUCAGGGAUGUGAGUGUGUGUGCAUAGACAGUAAUAACUCCCGACGAUAUGCAAGAAAACGUGAACUUUCCAAGGACAAUAAUUCUGAAGCCUUUGCCAGCCUGUGCAUUAGACUUUCCGCACCUGUAGUGGACUAUAUAGUGAAACCAAAUUGUCGAGUCCGUUUUGGCGUAGGCUCCCCAGGUCCAUUUCUCCCCUCUGCUCUGCCACACAGUCCCAACACCUAUUUUUUCCUCUCAUAUGUUACCUAUACCUUACAUAUGAGAGGAAGAGACAGGUGUUGGGACUGUGUGGCAAAGCAGAGGGAAGGAAAGGACCCGCGGAAGCCUACACCAGACCGGCCUCAACAUACCUGGAAGACUCUAGUGUUGCCCGAUCAGAAGAAAGGUUGCGGAUGGGAAGAAACUCAUAAGAAAAUUGUACAACUGUCGUGUUUGAUCUGUGAGAAAGCCGUUUAUGUGUGCUUGUGGAAAAGUCAAUAUAAUGUAGUGACCCUUAUUGAAGACUAUGAUGUGUUUGACUGAGGAGAGAUGCAAGAGAAGAAAUGUCUGUGAAAAAGUUGAAAUGCCUUAAGACUACAAUAGGUUCAGAUAAGCAAGAAAUUUAAACCCUCAAGAAAAGCAAUGUUUAUGAAAAAAUUAGAACCCCUUAAGGCUACAAUAGGUUC